UUCCGGUCGGAGUGUUUUGGUUCGGUGAGUAGGACUGUGCGCUGCUUCACGUCUCUGAUGCUCAUCCACCUGUGUGCUUAUGGCGUUUUUUGUUGUACUGCAGAGCGGCUUGGCUUUUAUGCCACGCUCAAGGUGCGAUAUCUCCUCGGUUUGCGGCGAUAAAUGUUGGCCACCUGGCAGCCCGUGGCCAAGUGGAAAGGGAACUUGGCUUGUAACCAGAAGGUCGCUGGUUCAAGUCCCCACCAGGUCAAAAGGGCUGGGGUACCCCUGAGCCCCCCUAGUGCCAAGGCUGGUGGUGGUGCUGGUGACCUGGGUGGUGGUGUCCGUCUUUACUGCGUGCUGUGUCCCCUGGGAUUUGGGUAUUCACGCUGCUGUCUAAGGGCUACCCUCUCAGAUUGGCCAUCCCCCUGACUUCUACUGCAUUUCCUCAUCCUGGUUUCUUAUGCUGAUGCAUCAUUAUUAUUUUUUUAAUAAAUAUUUUAUCUAAAACAAUAAAGUGACAGUUUUCAAGCAAAAA